rnacentral:rRNA from 1 species
CCCUUAGACGUUCUGGGCCGCACGCGCGCUACACUGACCAGUGCAACAAGCAUCCGUCCUUGGCCGACAGGCCCGGGCAAUCUUUGAACGCUGGUCGUGAUGGGGAUAGACUUUUGCAAUUUUUGGUCUUCAACGAGGAAUUCCUAGUAAACGCAAGUCAUCAACUUGCAUUGAUUACGUCCCUGCCCUUUGUACACACCGCCCGUCGCACCUACCGAUUGAAUGGUCCGGUGAAGGCUUCGGAGGCGGCUUUCUCAAUGUUUAUUCGGCGAGACUGCUGCCAAAGUUGAAUGAACCUUACCAUUUAGAGGAAGGUGAAGUCGUAACA